GACUUCCAAUUAAAUCAUUCAUUGCCCUCCUAAACUGUGUGUUGAUGGCAUCAAUGUAUUAGAUUUGGCUUUAAUUUCUCCGAAAAUUACACCUUUCACAGCUUUCCUCACUUAGAGACAGUUACUAGGUGAUAGCAACAAAUACAGCACGUAGCUGCCCGUUCUAUUCGCCUCAGAAAAAUAAACUGGACAAAGUUACAGUUCUACCAUGAGUUCUA